rnacentral:lncRNA from 1 species
CUUAUAAUCAACUACUUGUAAACACUCUAGCUUAAGUUCUCUGUGAAAUUCUUAUUUCCUCCUAAGUAAUCCCCAUGGCUACCAAUAUGUCCCUGAAGCUUGCAUGUGUCGUGGUUUUGUGCUUGGUGGUGGGUGCACCCCUGGCUCAGGGGGCCAUAACAUGUAGUCAAGUCAGCAGCUACCUGGCACCAUGCAUUCCUUACCUGAGAGGCAGCGGUGGCGCUGUGCCUUCAAAUUGCUGUAGUGGGAUCAAAAAUCUCAACGGCGCCGCCCAAACCUCACAAGAUCGCAAAGCGGCUUGCGGCUGCAUCAAAAAUGCUGCUGG